GCCAGGGCUCGUGACACUGACGACUUACCGACACCGA
rnacentral:sRNA from 1 species